rnacentral:lncRNA from 1 species
CCAUGCCUACAUCUAUGGUUCAAAUUUUCUCGUUAAAAAAUCAAGGGUUAAUACCCCUUUUGGUCCCUGUAAUAUGAGAAAUUUUCAAUUUUAGUCCCUGUAAAUAAGAAAAUUUAGAUUCUGUCCCUAUCAUUUCAUAUUUUUCCACUUUUGGUCCCUCGCUCAAACUAGUCAGCAGAAUAUGCUGACGUGUCCUACUGAUUGUGUAAUUAUUUUCUUUUUUUUUUUAAUUGGUUUCAGAUGCCACUUGUAUAUUUAAUUUAUAAACCAUUUAUUUAAAUGUUAAAAUUUUUAAAAUCAAAUCAUCCAAUUAAAAUCAUUCAUCAAUGUUUUCCAUCUUCUCCUUCCCAUCGUGACUCUUCUUCUUCAUACUCCUCAAGAUUCUUCUUCUUCCAUUCAAACCCAAACUCAUGAAUCUUCAUCAUCUUCAACUCAAACUCAUAAAAACUUAUAACCAGUAAUCUCAUCACCCAUUUUCUCCCUCAUUUUCUUCAAUGCUCUUUCAACCUUUCUCUUUCCCACACAAACCUUCAUCUCCAAAACAAAACCCAUAACCCAAAAAAAACUAAACUUUAAAUAAAAAAUGGAAAAGUGUGAGUCAAGGAUGAUGGGUUUUCCAGAUCUGGAAUUGGGAGAUAGAAAAUCGAAUUCCAACACCCAUCCAUUUUCAAAUCUGCAAUUAACCCUGGAGUUGGGAGAGAAAAAAAUGAAUUCGAAAUUACCAUGUUUUGAGAAUGAAUUUCAGGGUUUGUUGAUGGAUUUUUGGAUGAAGAAGUUGAACACUUGUUAACCAAAAAAAUUGAAAUUUAUGAAAGGGUAAAAGAAGAACCUGAAUUUAUGGAUGAAGAACCCGAAUUUAUGCCACUUGGGUUUAUGAUGAAGAGGAAGAAGAAGAACCUGUUUUUUUUUUUUUUUAAGAGAAGAAGAAGAAUCGUUCUUGUUGCUGCAUAUUCUUGUUUUUGUUGUUUUUUAUUUAUUUUUUUUUUUUUACGAAAAUAUAUUUUGUGGUUUUUUAAUUGUAAUUUUAAUAUGUUUUUUAUUUAAUUUUUAAAUAAAAUAAACAACUGAAUCCAAGUGGCAUUUGAAUCCAAUUAAAAAAAUGAAAAAAAAUAAGAUAAUUACACAAUCAGUUGGAUACAUCAGCAAAUUUUGCUGACAAGUUUAAGUGAGGGAUCAAAAGCGGAAGAAUCUCAAAUGAUAGGGAUAGAAUCUAAACGUUUUUUUUACAGGGACAAAAACCGGAUUUCGCUCAUAUUACAGAGACCAAAAUAUGUAUUAAUCCAAAAAUCAAUUAACAUUUGUCUCAAUUGUAUGUUAUUUCUAUAACUAAUUUUAAAAUCGUUUAAAAUUAUCGCUCUUUUGAUAUUUUCCCCUUGUAUGUAUUGAUGAAGACUAAAAAAGAAAUACAAAUAAUAAUGGAGGCUCAUAAGAAAAAUGUAUUACUUAUCCCCGUGAGCAUAGUUCAGUUGAUAGGGACAUGCAUUGUUAUAUGUAGGGGUCGGAAUUCGAACCCCGGACACCUCACUUAUUCACCUUAAAAAAU